ensembl:lncRNA
AAGUAGGUUUGGCGGAAUUUCUACAAGGCAAUAAAACUUGGUUUGUCAUUUGUUUGAGCUUCUGAAUAUUCUAAAAGAGUAAGAAAAUUGCUAAGCAAAUGAGUUUGGGGCCUCACAGAGAGAACGUGUUUAAGAAAAGACUGGACAACCAUUUGGCCAGGAUGUUGAAGAGGAGAUUCUGGCACCAGUGUGCAGUUUGGAUUAAUUCUGGCAGUGAAAACACUUCCUUUUCCUUUCCCCUAAAAUCUCCAUAAAAGCUCCAUCAGGCUGAUUCACACAAAGCGCUUCAGCUUGCAGGGAGGGUGUAUCCUCUUGAUUUCUCACCUCUGACCUCCACUCCUCUCAAGGCAUCACUGACGAGGCACUGGAGAGCUCCAAAGCUUAGAACAUCUUUGAACCCUGUGUCUAUAAGUUUACGGAGAACUACAACAAAUGACAGCUGAUGCUUACUCAGAGCUUCUUCUGUGGCAGGUCUUGCUAAGUACCUGUUUUUACAGAUGAGAAAACUGAGGCUUUGAGAGAGUUUUUGUUUGUGGGUGUUUUUUUUCCCUCAUUGAGUGGCUUGGGAGAUCUUAGUUCCCCGAUCAGAUCAGGGGUCGAACCUGCACCCUUGGCAGUGAAAACGCAGUCCUAACCACUAGACCAGCAGGGAAUUUCCUGAGGUGUUGAGAGUUUAAGAAACUGGUCCAUGAGCGUGACAGUGCUGAGACGCAGGCCUGGUCUCACAGGUACAAACAAUAUGCUUCAAUAAUCAUCCUCUUUACAGAUCACACCUAAGUAUCAUCAACGCCCUCUCAGGUCAGUGGAACAUGAUUCAGUGUUCUUGCUGCAUUUUUAAUACUUUAAGUCCUUACAAAGAUAAGAGGAUGAAUAUCCAUCUCCCAACCACAUUUCUUCAAGCUUUAACCAGAGAACUUAGUGAUACAGCUCUGUCCCAGGGUCCUGGAGCUUCGGGGAGAAGUGGCCGAUAGCAGAGGAUCUCAAGAAGGGCAACUCCGUAAAGAGAAACCUGAACUUAGCAAUACUGACUGUGUUUCCCAGUGGAUGCACAUUUGCUGGGGACAUGGAGGGGCCUCCAGCAAUCAGACACUGGGGAUGAAUAUAGAGCCACCUGAACAAUUUAUGGCACUUCAACUUGGUUGUUUCAUCUGAAGGUCAUUCAUUCAACAGACAUUUAAUGAGCCUCAUUCUGCGCCAGGCACUGGGCUGAGUGCUGUGGACAUUGAAAAAAGAUGAGGCCUCUGCCUCUCAAGGGAAAUGACUUGUUGAAAAAUAACCAUAUUCAGAAAAUAAGAACAGCAGCACAGAGCGAGAAGCAGUCGGAACAGAAACCCAGCGUGGGUGACUGGCUCUCACUGCAGACUUUUGUAGGGGACAUCUAUUAAAUGUCUACAGUCAUGUUGAAGGGGAUGAGCCCUCUUCCUUGAAGGGCCUCAUUUGCAUGACUGCGCUUGGUUAUGAAGACUACCGGAUACUCACAGGGACCCAGGAUGGCAGGUACUUGGCUCCACAGAGACCAGAAGAGGGACAAGAGCCAGGACCACAGGACCCAGGACAGUGAUAGUCUACUUCUCUCCCCACGUCUUGGCCCCAGGGGCUUCUCCAUGUCACCAUGGAGACUGCCCUCCCAUCCUGGUGUUGCGCUAGAACAGCCAUAAACUUAUCCAGGCCCACAGCUUCCAUGGCAUCAGGCCUCCUGCCACCCCCAGGGCCCUGCUACUCUCUGUGGAUUUUUCUUCAGUUUCUCUUUCUUCCCCCAAACCCAUCAUC